rnacentral:rRNA from 1 species
CCUACGGGAGGCAGCAGUGGGGAAUCUUGCGCAAUGGGCGAAAGCCUGACGCAGCAACGCCGCGUGCGGGAAGAAGGCCCUCGGGUUGUAAACCGCUUUCAGCAGGAACGAAAAUGACGGUACUUGCAGAAGAAGGUGCGGCCAACUACGUGCCAGCAGCCGCGGUGACACGUAGGCACCAAGCGUUGUCCGGAUUUAUUGGGCGUAAAGAGCUCGUAGGCGGUUCGGUAAGUCGGGUGUGAAAACUUUGGGCUUAACCCAAAGCCUGCAUCCGAUACUGCUGUGACUAGAGUUCGGUAGGGGAGCGGGGAAUUCCUAGUGUAGCGGUGAAAUGCGCAGAUAUUAGGAGGAACACCGGUGGCGAAGGCGCCGCUCUGGGCCGAUACUGACGCUGAGGAGCGAAAGCGUGGGUAGCAAACAGGAUUAGAUACCCUGGUAGUCCACGCCGUAAACGUUGGGCACUAGGUGUGGGUUUCAACCAACGAAAUCCGCGCCGUCGCUAACGCAUUAAGUGCCCCGCCUGGGGAUACGGCCGCAAGGUUAAAACUCAAAUGAAUUGACGG